rnacentral:lncRNA from 1 species
UAUUUUGAGCCAUGAGAAUUCCUAAACUCUCUCUCUUUAUGUUCAUUGUUGUCAUUCUAGCUUUACUUCAUGUUUCUGGUUGCCUGCGGCACAUCACUGGGUGCUGUACUAGCAGUGAAGAAGUUCAAGAAAUGAAUUCCGAACCGAUAGUAAGAGCCGGGGCUUCUACUGAAUUUAGGCCUCAGGGUGCUGGUUCCCAUUCUGCAGGAUAUCGAUUUAAGAAGACAAACCAAGUAAGCGCUGUUUCUCAUAAAGCUGUCCCUACUGGACCAAACCCUCUUCACAAUUAAGUGGAUUUACAGGAAACAUUGGUGUUUUCAGAUAAGUGUGCAAUGUGAUGUGUUGUUUUCAGUUCAUGGAACAACAAAAUUAUCAGAUACACAGAUUAGUAGAGUACUUGAAAUUUGACAAGUUAUAUACUAAUGUGAUGUUUUGUUUUCAGUUCAUGGAAGAUCAGACACACAGAUUAUUAGACUACUUGAAAGUUGAUAUAUACUGGUUUGAGUUCUACUUUGUGGAAUGCACUAGUGAAGUUUUUCUGUUUUUUCUUCAUAAACAGUUCAUGUAAGUUAAUUUUAUUUUGAUCAAGAGCUCAUGUAUGGUGUUGGAGAAACAAUUACCAAAGUCAAUUAUGUAAGCUUUUGGCAUUCUAUUCAAUUAUGCAAAC